AGCAGGCAUCAUUGUGCAGAGUUACUGAUGUCCUCUUCCCUACAGCAACAAGAAAACCUGGGGGAAGCUCCUCAGAAUCCAGAUCCUGCCUGAACCCCCAGGAGCCUGUAUCUUCCUUGGGAUAACUGUUCCGCAAUCACCAGAGAUUGGAACCUAUGGGGCAGAAACCAAUCACAGAUCACUCUUCCACUGGAGGAGAGAGGAUUCUUUCCUGCUCGCUGAGAAGUAAACAGAAUGGAGUUAAUUUGCACAGCAGCCAACAAUAACAUAGAAAAUAUGAAAAAGUCUGCAUAACACACUCUGGUGUACACAGCAGAUUCAGGUGUUAAAAAGAAAAUGCUGGAACUUGCAGGCUGUUUCACCUGAUCGACUGCAGAUGUUCUGUUGACACAUUAGAUAUUCUGCAGCUAUCGGCUCCCUUUAGCGUCUAUGGUUCCUGCCUG